rnacentral:tRNA from 1 species
GUAUUUAAAGUUCAUACAAACCUGCUUUGGGAGCAGGGGGUCGUGGGUUCGAAUCCCGUCGCCCCG